UACGUAGGGACCAAGCGUUGUUCGGAUUUACUGGGCGUAAAGCGUGCGCAGGCGGUUCGUUAAGUUCGAUGUGAAAGCCCCGGGCUCAACCUGGGAAUUGCAUUGGAAACUGGCGGGCUUGAGUGUGGCAGAGGGGGGUGGAAUUCCACGUGUAGCAGUGAAAUGCGUAGAGAUGUGGAGGAACACCGAUGGCGAAGGCAGCCCCCUGGGCUAACACUGACGCUCAGGCACGAAAGCGUGGGGAGCAAACAGG
rnacentral:rRNA from 1 species